CUGCCGGCGACCGGCGCACGGGUGAGUAACACGUAUGCAACCUGCCCUCCGCAGGGGGAUAACCCGGAGAAAUCCGGACUAAUACCGCGUGGUACACCAGUGGGGCAUCCCACGGGUGUUAAAAGGAAGCGAUUCCGGCGGAGGAUGGGCAUGCGGCGCAUUAGCUUGUUGGCGGGGUAACGGCCCACCAAGGCGACGAUGCGUAGGGGUUCUGAGAGGAAGGUCCCCCACACUGGUACUGAGACACGGACCAGACUCCUACGGAAGGCAGCAG
rnacentral:rRNA from 1 species